rnacentral:rRNA from 1 species
GUGGGGAAUCUUGCGCAAUGGGCGAAAGCCUGACGCAGCCAUGCCGCGUGAAUGAUGAAGGUCUUAGGAUUGUAAAAUUCUUUCACCGGGGACGAUAAUGACGGUACCCGGAGAAGAAGCCCCGGCUAACUUCGUGCCAGCAGCCGCGGUAAUACGAAGGGGGCUAGCGUUGCUCGGAAUUACCGGUCGUAAAGGGCGCGUAGGCGGACAGUUUAGUCAGAGGUGAAAGCCCAGGGCUCAACCUUGGAAUUGCCUUUGAUACUGGCUGUCUUGAGUACGGGAGAGGUGAGUGGAACUCAGAGUGUAGAGGUGAAAUUCGUAGAUAUUCGGAGGAAAACCAGUGGCGAAGGCGGCCCACUGGCUCGGUACUGACGCUGAGGUGCGAAAGCGUGGGGAGCAAACAGGAUUAGAAACCCCUGUAGUCC